UUUUAAGGCCCUAUUUGGGGGAGCUUUUGGAGGGCCAAAAAGCACUUUUUGGCCCUCCAAAAGUACUUUUAGAUAAAAAAAUGGUAUUUGGUAAAAUUUUCGAAAAGCUGUUUCAGCUUUUGCGGAAAGCUGAAAACAGCUUUUGGGGAGAAGCUCUAAUUUGGAGCUUUCCAAAAAUGCUAUUUUCAGCAUUGUCGAGAAGCUGUUUUUUGGACCAAAAUACCCCCAUUUAAAUCAACUUUUUUUCCUAAAACCCUUAUCCCGCCUCUUCCUCUCUCACCCAUCCUCUCCCUCUCCCUCUCUAUCUUCUUCUUCCUCUCAAUGUCGCCGCCUAUGUUCCUGCUUCUUCUUCUUCUUUUCUUUUUUUUUUUGUUUUGGGAGCUCGUGGCUGCCCACGGUGGCAACCACCAUGCCGGCCACCACCCAUGGCCGGCGACCCCUCUAUAUUUCAAUAAAAUAAAAUAAUAAAUAAAAUAAAUAAAUAAAUAAAAAUAAUGAGUGAGUGGCAAAUAAUUUGAUCUAAAUAAAUAAAUAAAAAUAUUAGUAAUUAUUUAACCAAUUUUAUCACCAAGCUAGAAAAUUUGUUAGAAAGAUAAAUGGUCAUUAGAAGGAUGAAAAAUUAAUUUACACUAAUAAUUAUAAUAUUUUAUAUAUUUAUUAUUGUAUUAUACUAUAAAUAUAAUAUUAUAUUACAUUAUAUCAAAA
rnacentral:lncRNA from 1 species